ensembl:lncRNA
CUGGUGUUGUACAGGGUUUGCAGCACACAAGCAAGAAGCACAGAAGACACAUUUUGCCCAUGUAAAGGGCAGGCCCAAAAUCUCCAGCAGCUGUGAAGGGCUCCCUGCUGCCAUUUACCCAUUCAGUACAGCUGCUCUGAUUAAAAUGCUUUUAAACAUCAGAAAGUGCUGGGCUUCCAGCCCUUUUCUGUCUUGAAUCAUGAGGACCUUACAGCAGAUUCCAGCAGCAGGGAGAUGUGCAGCUCUCCAGGCUGUGCUCCAAUGAGCUGUCGCUGCCCUGGGACGAUGCUGUGCAGCACCAGGCUCCUGGCCCCAUCCCACCCAGUGCUCUGAUGCUUCUCCCACCAACAGGACUGGUCCCUGUCCCAGGAGAUGGUGCAGCAAAUUCAGUUUUCUAAGUGGAUUCAGCAGGAGUCGCCACUCCUGAUGAUGAGAUGUGACCUGUUUUAAUCACUGCUGUCCACUGUCAGGUGAAAGUUCUGAAACGCAGCCGUGAGAUGAAUAGCAAUGACACGUUUUGGGCAGAGCACUGCAAAAUCAGGCUGCGAAAGACAGCGCUGGCAGAGGUGAUCCUGAGAGUGUCACCAGCCUCUGUCCUCGUGGUUUUCUCCAUUGGUACUUGCUGUAAUUCAUAUGGAAAAAAAAAAACAUGGAAUCACGGAAUGGCUCAGGUUAGAUGGGACCCUAAAGUCCACCCGGUUCCAACCCCUGCUGUGGGCAGGGACACCAUCCUCCAGCUCAGGCUGCCCAGGGCCCCAUCCAGCUUGGCCAGGAGCACCUCCAGGGAUGGGACACCCACAGCCUCCCUGGGCAACAAGAAACAUGAAUGGAAGUUGUGUGCGGGUGUGAGAAAGGCAGCUGGGCUCAGGCCCCCGCCCUGCUGAAUGUCAACACCCAUUUCAGUGACACUGUUGUGCUCUGACCUCUGCCUGGGUUUUGCUGGGACAUGGCUUCUCCACUCUUUGCACCUGGGAACAAACACCUUUGCAAAGGCAAUUUUAGGGAGAAUUAAAGGCUCAUCCGCCUUCCAUCUUAAUUCCUUGUCGUUUAGUUCUCUCAAUAUGAUUUCUACAGUACUGCUUUUGUGCUCAGUGCCUGCCAGCCACUCGAUUUGCCUUGACCUUUCAUGUCUGCACUCUGGCAGUAUUUGUUGUCUUUCUCGAUACUUGAGCUAUUAACAUGUGAAUUACAUCAACUGCUUUUAAUCUUACCUCUUUGUGGUAUUAUGGCAGCUCUGCAUAACACAACACAGUAGUGCAAUGAAUGGUUCAGCUCACUCACUGCGAUGGAAAUGUUUUGUAACUGUUGAUUUUCAUUUUUCUGACCUUUUUAUAAAGGAAUAUAAAAUGAUUAUAUUGAGCUGGCCCCUGCAUCUCCUGCAUGUGGGUGAACCUGAAGGCUGGCUGGAAGACAGCAGGGUAGGAGCUCUGUUUUGGGGCUCUGUUAGUAUUUGAUUUUAGAAUAAACUACAGUUUGGUUCCUUGACAACUAAGCAAUGAUUGGAUAUUAGGAAAAACUUCUUCUCUGAAAGAGUGGUGAGGGACCAGCACAGUUUGCUCAGGCAGGUGGUGGAGUCACCAUCCCUGGAGGUGUUCAAGAAGAGGGUGGAUGUGGCACUGAGGGACGUGGUUUAGUGGACAACAUUGAUGGUGGGUGGAGGGUUGGACAGGAUAAUCUUAGUGAUCUUUUCCAACCUCAAUGGUUCUGUGAUUCGAUGAUUCUAUGAAGGUGUGGAUGUCUUGAGAAGCCACUGUGUGUGUGGUUAAUUGUGGUGAUACAGAUUCCUGGUGGUGCAGACUGUGUUUCUGAAGAUGUCAGUAAGCAAACAAACCUGGUUCACACACCAUCAUCCUGUGCUCAAGGAUCACUGUAGAAGUGUCACCAGAAAAAAUCACACCAAAAAUAGAAAGAUCUUCUGCAUCAUCACAUCCUUCCCAAGGAACCAUCCAGCAG